rnacentral:rRNA from 1 species
UACGUAGGGGGCGAGCGUUGUCCGGAAUCAUUGGGCGUAAAGCGCGUGUAGGCGGCCCGGUAAGUCCGCUGUGAAAGUCCAGGACUCAACCCUGGGAUGCCGGUGGAUACUGUCGGGCUCGAGUCCGGAAGAGGCGAGUGGAAUUCCUGGUGUAGCGGUGAAAUGCGCAGAUAUCGGGAGGAACACCGAUGGCGAAGGCAGCACUCUGGGCCGGUACUGACGCUGAGGAGCGAAAGCGUGGGGAGCGAACAGG